rnacentral:rRNA from 1 species
AGUGAACGCUGGCGGUAGGCCUAACACAUGCAAGUCGAACGAGUGGCGGACGGGUGAGGAAUACAUCUGAAUCUACUAUGUCGUGGGGGAUAACGUAGGGAAACUUACGCUAAUCCCGCAUCCGCUGGAAUGAGCCGAUGUGGGAUUAGCUAGUUGGGGGGGUAAAGGCCCAACAAGGCGACGCUCCGUAGCUGGUCUGAGAGGAUGAUCGUCCACACUGGAAUUGAGACACGGUCCAGACUCCUACGGGAGGCAGCAGUGGGGAAGAUUGGACAAUGGGCGCAAGCCUGAUCCAGCCAUACCGCGUGGGUGAAGAAGGCCUUCGGGUUGUAAAGCCCUUUUGUUGGGAAAGCGGUACCCAAAGAAUAAGCACCGGCUAACUUCGUGCCAGCAGCCGCGGUAAUAC